rnacentral:rRNA from 1 species
AGUGAACGCUGGCGGUAGGCCUAACACAUGCAAGUCGAACGGCAGCACAGUAAGAGCUUGCCCUUACGGGUGGCGAGUGGCGGACGGGUGAGGAAUACAUCGGAAUCUACUUUUUCGUGGGGGAUAACGUAGGGAAACUUACGCUAAUACCGCAUACGCCCUACGGGUGAAAGCAGGGGAUCUUCGGACCUUGCGCGAUUGAAUGAGCCGAUGUCGGAUUAGUUAGUUGGCGGGGUAAAGGCCCACCAAGGCGACGAUCCGUAGCUGGUCUGAGAGGAUGGUCAGCCACACUGGAGCUGAGACACGGUCCCGACUCCUACGGGAGGCAGCAGUGGGGAAUAUUGGACAGUGGGCGCAAGCCUGAUCCAGCCAUACCGCGUGGGUGAAGAAGGCCUUCGGGUUGUAAAGCCCUUUUGUUGGGAAAGAAAAGCAGCAGGUUAAUACCCCGCUGUUCUGACGGUACCCAAAGAAUAAGCACCGGCUAACUUCGUG